UCUUAGAAUCAGCCUAAAAAUGGUUAAUCUGCGUACGGCUCAUUACAACAGCCAUAGUUUACUUGAUCUUGAUAUCCUACUUGGAUAACUGUGGUAAUUCUAGAGCUAAUACACGCAAAAAAGCCUCGACUUUACGGACAGGCGCAUUUAUUAGAACAAAACCAAUCGGACCUCGGUCCGCGGUUUAGUGAAUCUGAAUAACUUUGCUGAUCGCACGGUCUUUGUACCGGCGACGCAUCUUUCAAGUGUCUGCCUUAUCAACUUUCGAUGGUACGUUAUGUGCCUACCAUGGUUGUAACGGGUAACGGAGAAUAAGGGUUCGACUCCGGAGAGGGAGCCUGAGAAACGGCUACCACAUCCAAGGAAGGCAGCAGGCGCGCAAAUUACCCACUCUCAAUACGAGGAGGUAGUGACGAAAAAUAACGAGUCGGUUCUCUAUGAGGCCCGAUAUCGGAAUGGGU
rnacentral:rRNA from 1 species